GCGUUCUUAGUGUAACGGUAGCACAAGUGCCUCCAAACCACUUAGCGAGGGUCCGAAUCCUUCAGAGCGCGCCA
rnacentral:tRNA from 1 species